GAUUUAUCGGUAUGAGAUGGUGAUGCGUCCGAUUAGGUAGUAGCCGGGGUAACGGCCCACCUAGCCUUCGCAUCGGUAGGGAUUCUGAGAGGAAGGUCCCCCACACUGGAACUGAGACACGGUCCAGACUCCUACGGGAGGCAGCAGUGAGGAAUAUUGGUCAAUGGACGCAAGUCUGAACCAGCCAAGUAGCGUGCAGGAUGACGGCCCUCCGGGUUGUAAACUGCUUUUAGUUGGGAAUAAAAAAAGGGACGUGUCCCUUAUUGUAUGUACCUUCAGAAAAAGGACCGGCUAAUUCCGUGCCAGCAGCCGCGGUAAUACGGAAGGUCCAGGCGUUAUCCGGAUUUAUUGGGUUUAAAGGGAGCGUAGGCGGAUUGUUAAGUCAGCGGUUAAAGGGUGUGGCUCAACCAUACAUUGCCGCUGAAACUGGCGAUCUUGAGUGCAGACAGGGAUGCCGGAAUUCGUGUGUGUAGUCGGUAGAAAUGCUUAGAUAUCACGAAGGACUCCGAUCGCGAAGG
rnacentral:rRNA from 1 species